GGUGACAGCAGCAGUGACCGUAGCAGCCGAGAGGUGGCCGAAUGCUUACUCUAAUGGGCUGGCCCAUCCCUGAGUGUCUAGAGUUCCCAGCCCGCUUAAGGAAGGAAGGAAAACACAGGCAGCUCUAAGUGUACGACGAGAGAGGUCUCAUCGGCAGUGAGGAAGCCCAGGCGGGUCCCCUUCCCACCUGAAAGGGGUUCGGGCUGGAAUGCAGUAGGGCAAUCUCGGCUCACUGCAACCUCCACCUCCCGAGUUCAAGUGAUGCUCCUGCUUCAGCCUCCUGAGUAGCUGGGACUACAGCGGUGUCUGCUCCUGGCACCUCAGGCACUGUCAGGGGUAGGAGGUGGUGAUCAGAUACGCUCACUGUGAGCAGUGCAAGGGGAAGCAGGUGCCCAGAGGUGCAUCCCGGUUUGGUGGGGGUGACAAACAUGGACAGGUAAGUGCAGGAGUGUGUGCAAUACUCAAUCUAAGAAAGGUAGUUCAGGCAGAGUUCAGGGAAGAUAUCUCUGUGCAGGCCCAGACAUGGGGAUGAGAUUCUGAUAAUUUGGGAAUGAAUCAGGCCCCCAGCCCCUCCUCCCUCAGACUCAGGAGUCCAGGCCCCCAGCCCCUCCUCCCUCAGACCCAGGAGUCCAGGCCCCCAGCCGCCUUCUCCUGCAGGACCCCAGGAGCUUGGGUACCCACAGGCUACUAGAUCCUUGUUUCUGUGCAUGGAAAUUCUC
rnacentral:sRNA from 1 species